rnacentral:rRNA from 1 species
GACAGAGGGUGCAAACGUUGCUCGGAAUCACUGGGCGUAAAGGGCGCGUAGGCGGGAAUGUAAGUCGGGCGUGAAAUCCCCCAGGCUCAACCUGGGAACUGCACUCGAAACUGCGUUUCUUGAGUAUCGGAGAGGAAAGCGGAAUUCCUGGUGUAGAGGUGAAAUUCGUAGAUAUCAGGAGGAACACCAGUGGCGAAGGCGGCUUUCUGGACGGUAACU